AGUAGGAUUGCUGGAUCAUGUGGUAGUUCCAUUACUAAUUUUUUGAGGAACCUCCAAACUGUUUUCUAUAAUGGCUGUACUAACUUACAUUCCCACCAACAGU
rnacentral:pre_miRNA from 1 species